rnacentral:rRNA from 1 species
UACGAAGGGAGCUAGCGUUGUUCGGAAUCACUGGGCGUAAAGCGCACGUAGGCGGAUGUGUCAGUCAGGGGUGAAAUCCCGGAGCUCAACUUCGGAACUGCCUUUGAUACAGCACGUCUUGAGUCCGAUAGAGGUGGGUGGAAUUCCUAGUGUAGAGGUGAAAUUCGUAGAUAUUAGGAAGAACACCGGUGGCGAAGGCGGCGCUCUGGACCGAGGCUGACGCUGAGGCGCGAAAGCGUGGGGAGCAAACAGG